UGAACGCUGGCGGUAUGCUUAACACAUGCAAGUCGAACGGAAACGAUACUAGCUUGCUAGUAGGCGUCGAGUGGCGGACGGGUGAGUAACGCGUAGGAAUCUGCCUGAUAGUGGGGGAUAGCCCGAAGAAAUUCGGAUUAAUACCGCAUAAUCUAUUCGUAGUAAAGUGGGGGACUUUCGAGCCUCACGCUAUCAGAUGAGCCUGCGUAAGAUUAGCUAGUUGGUAGGGUAAAAGCCUACCAAGGCAACGAUCUUUAGCUGGUCUGAGAGGAUGAUCAGCCACAUCGGGGCUGAGACACGGCCCGAACUCCUACGGGAGGCAGCAGUGGGGAAUAUUGGACAAUGGGGGCAACCCUGAUCCAGCAAUACCGCGUGUGUGAAGAAGGCCUGAGGGUUGUAAAGCACUUUCAAUUGUGAAGAAAAGCUAGUGGUUAAUAGCCAUUAGCCUUGACGUUAACUUUAGAAGAAGCACCGGCUAACUCCGUGCCAGCAGCCGCGGUAAUACGGAGGGUGCAAGCGUUAAUCGGAAUUACUGGGCGUAAAGCGUGCGUAGGCGGUUUAUUAAGUCAGAUGUGAAAGCCCCGGGGCUUAACCUGGGAACUGCAUUUGAAACUGGUCAACUAGAGUAUGGUAGAGGAAAGUGGAAUUUCUGGUGUAGCGGUGAAAUGCGUAGAUAUCAGAAGGAACAUCAAUGGCGAAGGCAACUUUCUGGACCAAUACUGACGCUGAGGUACGAAAGCGUGGGUAGCAAACAGGAUUAGAUACCCUGGUAGUCCACGCCGUAAACGAUGAUAACUAGCCGUUGGGGGGAUUUACCCCUUAGUGGCGAAGCUAACGCGUUAAGUUAUCCGCCUGGGGAGUACGGCCGCAAGGUUAAAACUCAAAGGAAUUGACGGGGACCCGCACAAGCGGUGGAGCAUGUGGUUUAAUUCGAUGCAACGCGAAGAACCUUACCUGGUCUUGACAUCCUGAGAACUUUCUAGAAAUAGAUUGGUGCCUUCGGGAACUCAGUGACAGGUGCUGCAUGGCUGUCGUCAGCUCGUGUCGUGAGAUGUUGGGUUAAGUCCCGUAACGAGCGCAACCCCUAUCCUUAUUUGCCAGCACAUCAUGGUGGGAACUAUAAGGAGACUGCCGGUGAUAAACCGGAGGAAGGCGGGGACGACGUCAAGUCAUCAUGGCCCUUACGACCAGGGCUACACACGUGCUACAAUGGGAAGGACAAAGAGCCGCGAAGCCGCGAGGUGUAGCUAAUCUCAGAAACCUUUUCGUAGUCCGGAUUGGAGUCUGCAACUCGACUCCAUGAAGUCGGAAUCGCUAGUAAUCGUAGAUCAGAAUGCUACGGUGAAUACGUUCCCGGGUCUUGUACACACCGC
rnacentral:rRNA from 1 species